CAGCAAAACCCUACUACACAGCAACCAUUUGCCCAGACCAUUGCCUCACACAAUUCAGGUACACCUCAAGGAAAGAACAGAAAACCACACUCUGUCAGCUGCAACGUCGGGCCGAAGCCUAACAUACCGCCAAUAGAGGUUGCUUCCUUUAAUGUCCUAACCGAAGUCGCCCAAAUGCGCAAAGCGAUCCAAACAGAUCACCGCGAUUCGAGAAUCACACUUCAUCUUAGACACAAGAAAGAGCGAACGUACAUUUAAAGGGACUCGCGUCUUCUCCUCCGAAAAGGGAGCCAGCGAGACACCUCACAUUCUGCCAUCUCUCUCCCUGACUACACAGAAAAAGAAAGGCAAGUUUGAUGUACGGACACUGAUACAGGCAUACUUCCAGGCAUAACCCGAAAGUGCAAUGUGCGUUCAAAAUUUCGAUGACUCACUGAAUUCUGCAAUUCGCAUUACGUAUCGCAGUUCGCAGCGUUCUUCAUCGAUGUGCGAGCCUAGACAUCCACUGCUGAAAGUUGUUAUAGAUUAAAACCAUAAACUUUCGUUUUUGGAGUAUAGAUCAGUAUUAGGUAAAUGGGUUUGAAAAAUACAUCGGCAGACUACAAUUAAGCAGCCCACCUUCGUUCAGCCCUCCCGAAAGAG
rnacentral:misc_RNA from 1 species